UCGAGCGCCCCGCAGGGGAGCGGCAGACGGGUGAGUAACGCGUGGGAACGUACCCUUUACUACGGAACAACUCCGGGAAACUGGAGCUAAUACCGUAUGUGCCCUUUGGGGGAAAGAUUUAUCGGUAAAGGAUCGGCCCGCGUUGGAUUAGCUAGUUGGUGGGGUAAAGGCCUACCAAGGCGACGAUCCAUAGCUGGUCUGAGAGGAUGAUCAGCCACAUUGGGACUGAGACACGGCCCAAACUCCUACGGGAGGCAGCAGUGGGGAAUAUUGGACAAUGGGCGCAAGCCUGAUCCAGCCAUGCCGCGUGAAUGAUGAAGGCCUUAGGGUUGUAAAGUUCUUUCACCGGAGAAGAUAAUGACGGUAUCCGGAGAAGAAGCCCCGGCUAACUUCGUGCCAGCAGCCGCGGUAAUACGAAGGGGGCUAGCGUUGUUCGGAAUUACUGGGCGUAAAGCGCACGUAGGCGGACAUUUAAGUCAGGGGUGAAAUCCCAGAGCUCAACUCUGGAACUGCCUUUGAUACUGGGUGUCUUGAGUGUGGAAGAGGUCAGUGGAAUUGCGAGUGUAGAGGUGAAAUUCGUAGAUAUUCGCAGGAACACCAGUGGCGAAGCGGCUGACUGGUCCACAACUGACGCUAGGUGCGAAAGCGUGGGAGCAAACAGGAUUAGAUACCCUGGUGUCCACGCCGUAACGAUGAAGUUAGUCGUCGGGCAGUUUACUGUUCGGUGACGC
rnacentral:rRNA from 1 species